CAUUGCCAGCAGUGGGACCGGAAGUGGCUCCCUCUCUUCCUAAGUCAUUCACAAUAUUCCAGGGGGCCAGCCCUCCUGGUAUGCGCUGCGCGGGUUAGUGUCACACCCUCCACUGAGGAGCAAGUGCCAGCUCCGGGUUCACUGUGUUUUAAGCGAAGACUGGGGAGCUGUGCCAGUCAGAAUAGACGAGAAAUCCAGAGAAGGUACUGUCUGUCUUGAUGCUGGCAUAGAUGCCAAUGUAAUCACCCACGCCCACCUGCACCCACACCUGGUCCUCAGGUUCUAGCCUUACCAUCGCACCCCCUGAGAGCGAGGCUGGCUUGGGCCACCCCCCAAAAUACUGGAAGAAAGAGGCGAUGGACUGCCCGUUUUUGACAAGAUCAAACUGCAAGCUGGCCCGGUAGACAGUGGCGUGCACAGCAAAGUAGUAGACGCCAGGCACUUGGCAGGUGAACUUGCCAGUAGUGGGGUCGAAAUGGCCCUGCUCAUUUAGCAGCACACGGUCGAAAGGUAGGGGUGUGUCGGCUGGCGGAGGUACCCGGCUCUCGGAUCGCUUGGCACUGAAGGCUGAUCGUGGGGGUACCGAGCACUCCCCCGCAGGCCCGAUAGCCCCCAUGGGCCCUGCCUCUCCACGCGGCCCGGGCUCCCCACGUGGCCCAGGCAGCCCCUGUCCUUGCUGACUGACUCCUAGCUUCUGGUUGCUCCUUGCUGGCUCCACAGCGCUCCUCC
ensembl:processed_transcript Gm20444 predicted gene 20444